rnacentral:rRNA from 1 species
UGCCAGUAGUCAUAUGCUUGUCUCAAAGAUUAAGCCAUGCACGUCUAAGUGCACACCACAUGUGAUGGUGAAACUGCGAACGGCUCAUUAAAUCAGUCAUGGUUCAUUGGAUCGUACAAUCCCACGUGGAUAACUGUGGUAAUUCUAGAGCUAAUACAUGCAACACAGCCCGGACCCCCUCGCGGAGGCACGGGUGCUCUUAUUAGAUCAAGCCAGCCGGGUUCAACCCGCGUCUCUGGUGACUCUGGAUAACACUUGGCAGACCGCACGGCCAUCGAGCUGGCGGCGUUUCCUACAAAUGUCUGACUUAUCAAUUGUCGACGGGAGGCGACCUGCCUCCCGUGAUGAUGACGGGUGACGGGGAAUCAGGGUUCGAUUCCGGAGAGGGAGCCUGAGAAACGGCUACCACAUCCAAGGAAGGCAGCAGGCGCGCAAAUUACCCACUCCCGACACGUGGAGGUAGUGACGAAAAAUAACGAUGCGGGACUCUUUGGAGGCCCCGUAAUCGGAAUGAGUGCACUUUAAAUCCUUGAACGAGGAUCUAUUGGAGGGCAAGUCUGGUGCCAGCAGCCGCGGUAAUUCCAGCUCCAAUAGCGUAUACUAAAGUUGCUGCGGUUAAAACGCUCGUAGUUGGAUCUCUGGCGAGGGACGGUUGGUGCCGGCCUACGUUGUCGGGUCACUGCCGGAUAAAUAAUCCCCGCCACCUCAUGCCGGCGACUCCUCGGGUGCCCUUAACCGGGCUUGCCCGUGGUGGUCUGGCGAUGUUUACUUUGAAAAAAUUGGAGUGCUCAACGCAGGCAUUGGUACCUGCCGUGAACGAAUGGUGCAUGGAAUAAUGGAAAAGGACCUCGGUUCUGUUUUGUUGGUUUCAUGAAUCCGAGGUAAUGAUUAAGAGGGACUGACGGGGGCAUUCGUAUUGCGGCGGGAGAGGUGAAAUUCUUGGAUCGCCGCAAGACGAACGAUUGCGAAAGCAUUUGCCAAGAAUGUUUUCAUUAGUCAAGAACGAUAGUCAGAGGUUCGAAGACGAUCAGAUACCGUCGUAGUUCUGACCGUAAAUGAUGCCAACCGGCGAUGCGCCGAAGUCGUACCAAGACUCGGCACGCAGCCCUCACGGGAAACCUGGAGUUUCUGGGUUCCGGGGGAAGUAUGGUUGCAAAGCUGAAACUUAAAGGAAUUGACGGAAGGGCACCACCAGGAGUGGAGCCUGCGGCUUAAUUUGACUCAACACGGGGAACCUCACCUGGCCCGGACACUGGUAGGAUUGACAGAUUGAGAGCUCUUUCUCGAUUCGGUGGAUGGUGGUGCAUGGCCGUUCUUA